GAUGAACGCUGGCGGCGUGCUUAACACAUGCAAGUCGAACGGAAAGGCUCCUGCUUGCAGGGGUACUCGAGUGGCGAACGGGUGAGUAACACGUGGGUGAUCUGCCCUGCACUUCGGGAUAAGCCUGGGAAACUGGGUCUAAUACCGGAUAGGACCACAUUUUGGAUGGUGUGGUGGAAAGUUUUUCGGUGUGGGAUGAGCUCGCGGCCUAUCAGCUUGUUGGUGGGGUAAUGGCCUACCAAGGCGUCGACGGGUAGCCGGCCUGGGAGGGUGUACGGCCACAUUGGGACUACGGUACGGCCCAGACUCCUACGGGAGGCAGCGGUGGGGAAUAUUGCACAAUGGGCGCAAGCCUGAUGCAGCGACGCCGCGUGGGGGAUGACGGCCUUCGGGUUGUAAACUCCUUUCGCUAGGGACGAAGCGCAAGUGACGGUACCUGGAGAAGAAGCACCGGCUAACUACGUG
rnacentral:rRNA from 1 species